rnacentral:rRNA from 1 species
CACGCCCUAAACGAUGCGCGUUAGGUGUAUCGGUGACCACGAGUCACCGAGGUGCCGAAGGGAAACCGUGAAACGUGCCGCCUGGGAAGUACGGUCGCAAGGCUGAAACUUAAAGGAAUUGGCGGGGGAGCACCACAACGGGUGGAGCUUGCGGUUUAAUUGGAUUCAACGCCGGAAAUCUUACCGGGACCGACAGCAACAUGAAGGCCAGGCUGAAGACUUUGCCGGAUUAGCUGAGAGGAGGUGCAUGGCGUAGUCGUGU